AUUCCAGCUCCAAGAGCGUAUAUUAAAGUUGUUGCAGUUAAAAAGCUCGUAGUUGGAUUUCUGGUACAAUGCGCCUGGCCCGCGGCAGUAAUGCUUGUGAGUGCCGGUGCGCGUUUGCCAUCCUUCUAGAAAACGUUUCUACCCUUUACUGGGCCGGACUCGCGAUCUAGAUCUUUUACUUUGAAAAAAUUAGAGUGUUCAAAGCAGGCUUUUGCUGUGAAUACAUUAGCAUGGAAUAAUAAUCUAGGACUUCGGUUUUAUUUUGUUGGUUUCUAACACUGAAGUAAUGAUUGAUAGGGAUAGUUGGGGGUGCUAGUAUUGGCCGGCCAGAGGUGAAAUUCUUGGAUUCGGUCAAGACUAACUUAUGCGAAAGCAUUCACCAAGGAUGUCUUCAUUA
rnacentral:rRNA from 1 species